UCCGAAGGGUGCUAGCGUUGCUCGGAAUCACUGGGCGUAAAGCGCACGUAGGCGGCUUUCUAAGUCAGGGGUGAAAUCCUGGAGCUCAACUCCAGAACUGCCUUUGAUACUGGGAAGCUCGAGUCCGGAAGAGGUGAGUGGAACUCCGAGUGUAGAGGUGAAAUUCGUAGAUAUUCGGAAGAACACCAGUGGCGAAGGCGGCUCACUGGUCCGGUACUGACGCUGAGGUGCGAAAGCGUGGGGAGCAAACAGG
rnacentral:rRNA from 1 species